CCUAAAAACCCAUUCAUCAAUAUUACUCUCUCUCUUUCGUUCUCUCUCUCUCUCUCUCUCACUUCAAGAUUCAAAAUUCAAAAUUCUUUCCCUUUUUCUCUUCUCUCUCCCGCUUUCUAUCUUCAUCUUUGUAAAAACUUCCCCUUCAUCUCCUCAAAUCCUAAAUCUACCGCCGCCAUUUUCUCCUUCGUCUCUGUUUUUGUGUUUUUAAGAAUGACUGCUGCUACAGCUUCUGGUGUUAUUGAUGGUAAUGGAUCUUCUACUUCAUGUAUGCAAUUUGGAAGAAAGGGAAAGAAACAAAAUAAGAUGAACAGAGUUUGGGUUUGUUGAUCUCCAUCUUCUUCUGUAGUGGAUUCUUAUAAAACAUACUACCAAACUACCAGGUGCUUCUGAAUCUGAAGUUAGAAAGGCUUUUAGACAACUUGCUUUGCAGCAAUAACGAUUGCAAGGGUGGAAUCAUGGAGGAAUGGCACCAGAAGUUACACAAUAAUACUAGCCCUGAUGCUUAUGUGUUCAGAUUUCUUGACGUCUCUCAUCCGAAUCUUGAUUCUCCAACAAAAUCCUCAUAUUCGUCGAAGCUUGCAUCUCAAAGAUUUUCCCCUGUCGUCGGAGACUGCAGAAAUUGAAAGAAGAAUAGAGUUAGAAACAAAGGCUGAAAAGCAUAUUCAGAAACUUCUACUGCUAGGUACAUUUUAUUGACAGUUUUCUUUUAAUCUCAGUCUUGUAUGCUUAAUGUUUCAGGAACACACUUUAAAGCUGAAAUUUGGUGAGUGGGAUGUGAACAAUUCUGCCUCAUCUGAAGGUUUUACUGUUAUUUUCAACAAGGCUAGAGAAGAGAAGGAGACCAAUAUCGUCGCACACGUUGCUACCCCCGCAUAAGCCUGAUCUUGUCUUCCAAAAUGACGAUUUUCCUCGAAAGAGUAAGUGGUUUUGCUGCGAUUGAUACUAUGGUGAGUUAUGCGCCAAUGAAAUAUGUUGGGGAUAAGGGUUAGACAAUGGGAUGGGAGCAUUCUAGAAAGCCUCAACUUUUGUUAUGAUGAACCGUGUUCUUUCAUAAGCUGCUGAUGUUAGUUUUUGAACCUGAGAAGGAAUAAUUUAAGAAGGAACAUCAAGACCAACAAAGUAUUAUACCAAGGAAGCAAACUAUGGUAGAUUUUCUUGUCGUGCCAAAGAUUACUAUCCAUGUUUGCAUUUUGACUUUUUUUUUAUGGUUUUUAGGUUGAAAUUGAAACUGAGUGUUGAUUGAUUUUUUUGUUUUGGGUUGUAAUUUGUAUUGGGUGUUAAUUGGUUUUGCUAUUUUAGAAUAUAAUUUGAACUGAGUUAUCAUAAAUUUUUCUUUCUUGAGUGAAAUUUGAACUAGAUCUUCAUUGAUUUUUCAAUUUUCUCUUGAAUUCAAAUUCUAACUCUGGAUUUCAUUUCACUGUAUUUAAUUUAUUUGAGUUGGUGGGGUUGUUAGUACCAUUUACUCGAGGAGUUUUGAAACUGAGUACUUAAGUAAAUUGUUUGGUUAAGUAUGUGUUAUUAUUUCUUAUUUUGUUUAUAAGAGGAUAUGUAUGAUGAUUAACAUUUACCAUGAAAAAGGGGCAAUGAGAAAAGGCACAUGAAUCUUCAUUAAAUAUGGAUUGUAUGAGUACAAAUAUAGUGAUGAGAACUUGAGCAGUUGAGCUUAUAUCAGAAUGAAAUAUAGUUUUCCACAUUGGAGGAUUUGUAUCUGUGUUGUUAGAAAGUCAGCAAUAUCGGUGGCUAUUAAGUUAAGAGCUUAAAGAAUUGUUAUGGACUGGUUUAUUUGAUUGUACUUAAUUGUGGCAUAGAGCUUAAGAAUUGUUUAAUCUCUUAGGAGAUAAGAGUAAUUGGAUGACAUAAGCUAUGGUCCAUAGUUAACAAUUUUAGAAGUAAGGUAUACUGUGAGAAUCUGUAAGGUAUACUAGGGCCAUCUAUUAUUCAUCAUUACUAAUUUUUGAAUUUGUAUAUUACUACUCUUUAAAAAAUUCACUUUUGCAGGUACACAAUCACGAUUCUCAACAUUGUGUCCUGCUUUUUACUUGAUAGUUGCACCAUAGCAGCAUUGUGUCCUGCUUUUUACUUUAUAGCUGCACCAUAGCAGCUUUUGUACUAGGUCUGCUAUAGCUUAUACUCAAUGUUAACUUAAGAAAAUUUUGUAAUCAAUUUAAAUGUUUGUUGAAGCUACAAAAGUAAUGUAUGACUGUCUCAUUAAUGUAAAUGUUGAAAGAUGAGUUUUUGUUGGAACUGCGUUAUUUUUUACUUCUUUGGACAAAUUGAAAUCGACUGCAGCACAUGAACUUUCAUAUUCGAAUCUUAAGACUUUGCCAAUUAUUAU